rnacentral:lncRNA from 1 species
AUGCUCUUGGUUCUUUAUCCAUCCCCCCCUUUUAGUCUCUAUAAGGAAAUGGCAUGGGAGAUGGGUUUUGAAGAGUUCCAUUUGUAUCUGAGGCCUGUUCACUUUGAAUUUGCAUCACUCAAAGACAAAGUGGACCAUCCGCCUCCUGUCUUUGUCACCUCUCUGCUGGAAGACAGUGAUCGAGUGGACAGAUAUUCUCCUACUACUCUUGUCUUAGCCAUCUCUGAGGUGGAUGAUAACCAGGUUGGCAAGUUUAGCUUUUAUACAAAGGAAGCCAUCCUUAAGGUAAAUUAUUUUUUUAAAAGAAAACCAAAGUAAAAUUAAGCAAUUUGCUCAUGUAUUUUCUUUACAAUUCAUCAUAUUUAAUUCAUAUGUUUGGCUCCCAUGUAGAAAAAAAGCUUCCAACUUCAUAAAUAAUGGUGAUAGCCUUGUCUUAUUUGAUGUGCCUAUUGGUCUGGUUUGAACCAUGGAGCCUGCUACACCCCUUGCAAUAACUUCUGUUAGGUUUUGAAAGGAAGCACAUGUAGUGAACCAUCUUUGUACCAAGUUUUUAAAAUAUGCACUUGUUAUUGGAGCUUUUAUCUGAUCUUCUUAAACUUGGUGCUGUUAUUUUCCCCUUGCACUCAGAUGGAGUUCUUUGCCUCUGUAUGUGUAGGUUUGUAUUUGUGUGUGUAUUUUUUAUUUUUUAAAUUAAUUUUAAUUUUUAAUUUUUUUAAAGAUUUUAUUUAUUUGAGAGCGAGUCAGAAAAAGCAGGGAGGGGGGAGGGAGAGGGACCAGCAGACUCCCUGCUGAGUGUGGAGCCCACUUUGGGACUUGAUCCCAGGACCCUGAAAUCAUGACCUGAGAUGAAGUCCGAUGCUUAACUGACUGAGUCACCAAGGCACCCCUGUGUGUGUAUUUUUUAAACAUUAAUCUAAUCUUGGCAGUUUUAAAAGGCUGCCACUGAGUAGUUGCUAGUAGUUGCUAGUUCAUCAGAGCUUACUCAUCCUUUUCUGACCAGAAACCUGAUGGUGUCCAGCUGCAGAGCAAAUCAGGUCUGGAGGGUGCCUUCCUGGGGUGAAAUGGUGCUUAGAGAGAGACCAGAAUCAGUCCCGUGGCUGAGGAGCAAGGAUCUCAGUUCAUCCUGCAGUUUGAUUCAUAUGUUUACAUGUUAAAUAAGUGGUGAUCUCAAAUCC